CAAAAAAAAAAAAAGGCAUAAUCUGAAUCAAAUCAUAAAGGAACUGAUAAAACCGAAUUGACUCUUCAAAAAUACCCCUAUCAUGAAAAAUAAAAACUUUUAGGGGGACAUAAAGACUAAAUGCAAUGUAGUAGCCUGGGUUGGCAAGGCAGUUGCUACGAAGGGCACUACUGGACAACUGGUAAAAUUUGGAAAUAGACUAUAUGUUAUAUGAAUCAGAUCAAUGUUACAUUUUCUGAAUUUGAUUGUUGAUUAUGAGAGAAUGGAAUGGCCUUGUUCUUAGUAGAUACAGGCUAAAGGUCAUGAUUUCUACUACUUAUUCUCAGAAGGUGUGAAGCAGUUAAGAUAAAGAAUAAUGUAUACAUUACAUUGUAUAUGUGUGUGUAUAGCUGCAGAAGAAAAACAGAACAAAUUGGCAAGAUGUUAAUAAUAGUUCAAUGUAGGUGAAGAGUUCUGGGAAUUAGCUGUAACACCUGUGCAACUUUUCUGUAGGUCAAAAAGUUUUCUAAUGAACAAGUUUAAUUUUAAAAUUUCAUUAUUUGACUGCAAGUUAGGCCUUAUUUACUUAGCUUGGCCAGAAAAAUCAAUAUUCCUCUCAGCAAGUAUGUAUUGAAGGUCUACUGAGUGCUGGGCACUCUGCUGUGGGUAAAGAAAAAUAAUGUCGUAGACUUUGAAUUACGGUGUAACGCAGGGUCAGCAAACUAAGUUCAGCAGGUUGAACUGGCCUACUGUUUUUGUAAAUAAAGUUUUAUUGGUCGAGAGCUAUGUUCAUUCACUUAUGUACUGUCUUAUGGCUGCUUUUGUCCUCCAACGGCAGAUCUGAGUAAUUGCAAGAGAUACCAUGUGACAUACAAAAUAUAAAAUAUGUACUAUCAGCUCUUUAUGGAAAAUUUUCUACCCUUGGUCUAAUGAUGUAGCAGAAACACAAUUAGUCAUUGCUUGGAGAAAAAAAAUUAAUGGAAAAAGAUAAGCAACAAUUUGAAGGAUCAUAUAAUUUAGUCUUAUAAAUAUACCUCAAGGAACAGGUAUGUCAUUUCAAUUUGUACUUUGUGACAAUACAGUGUUAAUCAGAAAUCUUCCUUUCAAAUAUAGUUUACUAAAUCUUUAGAAAUCCUUAAAUGUUCUUUACUAAGUAUAAAAUUGUUCUACAGCCAUGUUUAAUCUCACAACUGAAUUUAAAGCAAGAAUAAUUUACUAAUGUUCAUUCUAUGACUACUACCAAAAACAUUUUCCUAAAGUACACAUGUAAAUAAAAGAGGGAGCAGUGUGUUCUAUCUUGCAAAUCAGUUACCUAAAUCAUGUUUUCUAAAGUGUAUCUGCCAGUCAGGAGAUCCAUAGUUACCAAAGCUCUUGCAGGUGUGGCUCUCCCAUGUGUCAUAGCUGUGUUGUUUGUUCCCUUCAGUGAGUAAACAUUUUCCUUAUAGUCUUAUUAACUGAACUACUUUACUUAGUAAUCUUUUUUCCUAUGGAUAAUCCAAAUAUAAAAUUUGAGCUAAUCCAGGUCCAAAUUACCACCAAACCCCAAUAAAUGAAGUCUUGAAUUUAUCUGGUCUUGAAGUUAACUUCUUCCAAAAACUACUGAUAGAUUUAAAUGUAAAAAUUACAAUCAACUUUGUGAAUAUAAACUCAAAGCAAUAUAUAAAUUUAAAUAUAAAUAUAAAUUCAUCAGUAAGAUUUUGGAAUGACCAUUUUAGGUAAUUAGCUAGUGACAGGAUUAAACACAUUAGAGGUCACAUGGAUGUUCUUACCCAUUGUUCCAUCAACUGCCUCCUCAUACCUGGUGCUUUAAAACACGAAGUAAAGGGGUACAUUUUGCUUCUGACAUUCCCUUGAGAGUCAGGAACUAGUAGGACAAAAAUUAGUUUACCCACCAAAUACUUAAGAGCAUGCUACGACCUUUAAAUCUUCCAGAGCCUUUAGGAAGUUAAAUCAUCUAAAUAAGUGAUGUUAAAGGAAGCCAAAAGUGGAAGGCAAUGAGAGCACAGUAAUAAAGUAAUGAAUAAAGAUUUUAUCAGACUGUUUAAAUUUAAUCUAACACUUUCAAGUUAGGUGACUGAACAAAUCACUUAACUGUUAGACAAGCCUCAUCGGGCACCCUUUUGCGGAACUGCAUACCUCAAAGGAAUAUUUAUGUAAAGUUAUAUAGCAAAAUGCCCAACACACAGUAUGACAAUAAAUGGUAAUUUAAAAAAUAAGCAAAAUCCAGAAAUUUCUCCCAUCUCCCUUUUGCAGCAAGUUAAAGAGCUUUGUUAGAUGACAUCUAGGAAAAGAAUAUUAAAGUCUACAAGGCCUGAAUUGUAAUCUAGCCUCUGCCACCAUACUAUCUUUAUUUUCUCAUGCUUAAAAUGAAAAGGAUGAAUAUAUAAUUUAUUCUCCAGCUCUUGAUUUCUGUAAUUCUGGGAUCACUAGCUCAGUAAAGGCACAGCAUAACUCAAAUUUUUAAGUUUAUGUGAUCCUCUAGAUGAUACAGCAAACCAAUUAAAAAUAUUAUUCUUUUGUUACUAUAAGACUGACUUAAAAGGGUGAAAUGUGCUUAGCGUGAUUUUUUUAAAAAGCAAGAUGUUGCUUCUCUUAUCCUGGUGGUCAAUAUGAUUAAGAUGAAGUGAAUUUAGUAAUUAUACAGAUGUGCUUUAUUGUACUAGAACCAGCAAGGCAAAUGUCUAAAGAAUUUAAUCAUUUAAACUUUCAUAAAUUGCCACACCUUACCAUAAUUUUAGAUAUCCUAUUUGCAGAUUAGAACAUUACACUUCAAGUAUAUGCCUUGUGAAAUAUUUAUAGCUAAAUUAAACACACCUGGAAUGUCUCUGAGGUACUCUGACUGCUGCCUCCCUUCCCCCAAAAAACUUCAAAUGUUAGAGAAGGAUAAAGGAAAUUUGAAGCUAAAUGGUGGGCGUAUAUGAUGGCUCAUUUGCUUUUGUGUAUGUUAGAAAUUUCCCACUUAGAAAAUUAACAGUAUACACUUUUUAAAAAUGUCAAUGUAAUUCCUCACAUUAAAAAGUAAAAAAGUAAAAAUCAUAGAUGCAGAAAAAGCAUUUGAUGAAAACUGACCUCCAUUCCUAAUUUUAAAAAAGUUCUCAGAAAACUCAGGAAACUUUCUCAACCUAAUAAAAGGCAUUGUGAAAAAGUAAUAAACUGAAUAUCAAAAUUCAAAAUUUCUGCUCCUCAAAUUACACUGGUAAGACACUGAAAAGAUAAGUCAAAACUAGAAAACAGUAUUUGCAAAUCACACAUCUAAAAAAGGACUUGUAUCUGAACUAUAUAUAAGAAAACAAAUUACCCUCCCCACACCAAAAUGCACAAAACAUAGGAACAGACACUAUACCAAAAAAGAUAUAUAGAUGGCAAGUGAUCGCAUGAAAAGAUGAGCAUCAUUAGUCAUUAAGAAAAUACAAACUUAAAACUACAAACCAUCACACACUUAACAGGAUAGCUAAAAUGAAAACUACCCAUCCAAGCAUUGCCAAGGAUGUGGAACACCUCUAAUUCUCACACACUGCUGGUGGCAAUGUACAAUGGUACAACCACUUUGGAAAACAGACUAGCAGUUCCUCAAAAAGUCAAAUAGCUAUUCCACUCCUAGGUAUAUACACAAGAGAAAAUAUUUACAUCCACAACAAAACUUGUAUAUGAAUGCCCACAGCAGCCUUAUUUGUAGUAGCCCAAAACAGCUAUCUUUUCUUUAAAGAUAGAAAACAGCUGAGAAAAGUUACAUAGCCUUCUAGAGAUUUUAUAGUGAAUAAAUGGCAGGGGUCAGAAUUUAAGAUGUAAAGGUUUAUGAGGCCCAGUGCUCAAAUGCCAACCAAACUGGUAUCAAAUAGGCCAGAAAACUCUAAAAAUAAGGAGCUAAGAAGGCUUGACUUAAAAAUUAGAGGGGGUCAGCGGAUAGAUUUGGAAAGGGAAAACCUCACAUGAUCUGCUGGCUGAAAGAUCUGUGAAGUACCCUCUUAUUAGUUGUAGGGAAUACGGGCCUUUUUAACCACCUUAGCUAAAACUCCACGGACGUGCUAUGCCUUCUUCUUCCCAAUACAUUAAAUGAGGUUUAUUUUCAGAUCCAAAUUCAAAGCAAAACAACACCCAAAUUCAAGUCUCAGGGACUGGCCGCCCUAUCAUGUAGCUGAUAUCAAAAAUCCUUUGUCAUCACCAGAGGAAAAUCCACAACUCCAAAAUAUAAGGCAAACACAGGAGUGAAGUAACAACAGUUUAAUGAAAAUAUAAAUUCUUUGUUUUGAAUGAAAGGAGGAACUGAGGCAAAAGGGCCAGAAAUAACAAACUAGUGAUCAAAUGCAGCAGACUGAUGAACUUUACCUAGCGCAGCCUGUGUGUCUUUCACAGAUAUUCAGGUCUCUUUACAUUUGGGGUUUUUGUAUGGUACUACAAGCCCAGGCAGCUCACAUGCAUAUUUACAAAGGGUUUUCCCUCUUUUUCCUUUUUAAAAAAAUUCCACACAGGAACUAUUACCCAAGGCAUCAUUUUCUGAUUCUAUACACAAAGGAGUACCACAAAAACCAUUUUAAAGCACUUUUUCCUACAAUAUGAAUUCUAUUACCUCUAAAUAAAGACUUCUCCUGUCCAGUCUUGUUGAUAGCAAUCAAAACAUGCUACCAAGUCUCAUGACUCACUCUUCCAAAUCCCUAUUUAACAACACUUCUAAAUAUCAUGACUUUCAAGGGCACCUUCUCCGGGUUUUUGACUGAUUCCCUGGGCACUACUGGACACAACCCCCGUUUUUUAUUUCUUAGUUCCCUAGGUGGCAAGGACUCUGAGCUUAUCAAAACUAGUUUUCAAACUUAGUCUGAGGGCCCAGAGACUCUCUGAAAGGCACAUAGUUUAGGUAGUUACAUACAAUUAGUUUUAGACCCCUCAUUAAUUCACUGCAUUUCAAUACUGCCCUCAAACCUGAAAAACAAUAUAAUAUAAAAGGAUUCCAAAGCUUCAACAAAUAGGACAAAUUCCGUGGAUAUGGUAUAUUCCAUAAUACAGCUCCAAAAGCUCUUCACCAUCAUGCUAGUUAAAGCUGAAAGAAAAGUUAACAUAAAGACUGUAAGCUCUAUUACACCCAAGCUUCAUUCUAAUGAUCUCUCUCUCUAGGUUAAUUAAAACAUAUGCAGCAUGCUAGAUUAAUCUCCAAGGGCAUUUUAAGCAUGUUUUCAAACAAGUUGCCUAUAUGACAACCUAGGGAUGUUCAAUGUUGUAAACUGGACAAUUUAAGAAAAGACAGUAUUUAAAUACAGUAUUUAGAAUCAGGAAGUCUCACUUGAAAUCCUGGCUGGUACUUAGUAGGAGUUUUUGUUUCUUGGGAAAAUAAUUUAGUCCCUUUGCCCAUCACUAAAUUUAUUUAUUAAAAUCAGAAUACCAUGGCCUACACAUUACAGGACUUCUGUGAAGAAUAAACUGUGUAUGAAAGGUACUGUAAACUGUUAAGUGUUAUGUAAUCAUUCUUUUAAAAUAAUAUUCUUCAAAGUAUUACUACACUGAUAAAAAUUUAAAUUUUAAUCAAAUUCCAACAAAAUUAUUUUUAUAAGCAUUAAUUCAUCACAUAUUACUGUAUCUUAAGUCCUAUCUCAUCUAUUUUAGAAAUCUAGCAACUUAAAUGUAAGUCAGAAUUGCAUCUUUGGAAAACUGACAGAAUUUAAAAUAUCUUUCUCUGAAAGCCUAUCUGUACUUUUGCACUGCCUUCCAUUAUUGAAGGAAGAGAGGGUUUACCCAAAUUGGCAGUCACUCUGCUGAAGCAUCUAUUCAAACUGAGGAUUGCUUUCACUUUGAAAUUCAAAAUAUAUUUCAUAGUACAAUAUUUAAAGAAUCACUUUUAAACUAAAACAAACUUAUUCAUUGUAUUAUUCUCCUAAACUUAGUAGUACCUGAUGAUUUUAUUUGCUUACCUUUAUGACCUUUUGAUAUGUACAUACAUUGUACCACUUUUCACAUUAGAAUUUUGUUUCUUUUCCUCCAAAAUCAAGUUCAGUCUUUGACCAAUCCUUUUCACCAUUCUACCCACUUUUCUACUGACUUUAUACAGAGACUCUGCCGUUUAAACAAAAGACCUGAGACUCUAAGUAAGGUCUAACAGAGGCCUCCUUCAAGAUCUAGGCCCUGCCCAGGUCCAUUUUGGGUAUACAACAGUAUUUACACUCUCCUGUCUUUGUCUUGGUUCUACAUUUAGGUAAGGCAACAAGGAUUCUAAAAUUUGAGCAUAAAAUAAUUCCUUCCCAUCUCAAAGGACAACUUAGACCUAGCCUGGCUGGAGUGGCAGGAUCUGGUGCACAACUACCCCACUGACAGGCCUCCACAUCAGUGCCUGAGACAGAAAAUCAAGCUCAUAAGAUAGUGUGGUUGUAGGGGCAGCCCAAACACCAUUCUCUAACAUCUCCGGUCCUUUACCUUUCCAGUUACUCCAGGAUUUGACAAGCUUUUUCAUUCCCUAACCAACCAUCUCACCCUCCACCUAGGGCACAAUAGCCAGAUUUCCCCCUCAUUCCUCCCCUUCACAACAUACAGCAAGUGGUCCUUCAACUGAGCAUAUCUAAAGGUCUUUUGUUCCUGAAUAUUCUGGGUCAAGGUAUCACCUGUAAAAACUUUACCAACUGAGAAAAAUAAGAAAUUAUUCUAAUAAGGCUUUAACUAAAUUAUAAAUAUACAAGUAACUAUUUGUGCCUUCAAAUGUCUAACAUUUUAUCCUAAAUUAAAAUACACUGAGAACAGAACCCUAAAAAAAUUAAUUGCAAGCAUUAGCAGCGGCUAUGAAUAUAUAAUUCUGCAGCAUAAUGUCCAACAGUAUUUCCUUCUCUGCUCCUCCUUUUGAACUUCCUCUUUACUAGUAACACCAAAGACGUAAUAGUCACUAUUUACCAAAUACUUUUCUAAGUGCUUUACAUGCAUUCAUUUAUGUACAGCUCUAAACAACUCUGUAAGGCAGGUAAUAUUUAUCAUGCCUGUUAACAAAUGACAAAACUUAGGCAUGAAGAAGUUAAGUGAGUUGCAGGAGUCUGUCCAAAGUGACGAUGCAAAGGCUGGGACAAAGCGGUCUGGCUCUAGAGUCUUGUUUACUCAAACUGGCCUUGAUAUCUUCACUAUCACACUUACAUUAAAAUUGUCUGUAAACCACUAGAGGGCAUGGAUUGUGAUCAUCCUUUGCACAGCUAUCUGCCCAAUACUGAGCAGAAGUCUUAAGGCUCAUGAAUAAAUCAUUGUUGAGUUCUUCACCAGCAUGCUUUCCCCGCUAGACUAUGCUCCUUAAGGGUUAACCAGGAAACUGACACUAGAGCUCAUCCUUUAGGAGUGCGUGGCACUUAAGUGAAAAUAAAUGAAUACACGGUUUUUGCUUUGGACAGUUCCAGACACCUGCUGAAUGAAUAUACUUUCUAUUUACAACGUCUUAACGCUAAAUACAAGAAUGAGAAGCCCAGUCUGAGAUAACAAUCAGAGCCACCUCUCCAGUCCUAACUUUGCAAGAAAUCAAUAGCUGCCUUAACAUUUAAAACUUACUAGUAGGCAGGUACGUGGUCUAAGGUAGAACAUUAAAGGAAAUGUAAAAGUUGUUUCGCUCCCUUAGAGAGCUUUUUACUUAAAAGACGAAAACAAACCCAGACUUAGCGAAAAUUUAUGUACUUUUUUUUUACUUUUAAAAUAUUUACUCUGUUUAGAGUAUCCUUCUAAACAGCAAAAUCCCCUUACUUCACUCAUAACACCCAGGAAUUUAUGAAUUAAGCUUAAUUUGGGCAAGGGAAACCACAUCGGACAAUGCUAAGGAUAAACUAUACAAUAUUCAAAAGAGCAGUUUCAAACUGCAACCAUCUCCGAAUUACUUACAUAGGUAUUGGCCACAGUAAAUCUCAGCAUCAGGCAGGCUUUCCCCUAAAUACAAAUUCUACCAUGGUUAUCACCCUCUGAUGCUUAGAAAAGCACAUAGGAAAUACACAAUUCCUUUCUAAAUAGCAAUUCCUUCCUGAAACUAUUCUGGAAACAAUGUCAAAGUUGUUUUUAACAAAAGAAUUGACUCUCUUAAAACUUCGAUUUCUCAAAGAUGUAAUUUAAUUAUUUAAGGCGAUCUGGAUGAUUUGUGAACAUUUGCCUUAAAGAAUCAGACCUCUAACUCCGCCCAAGGCCACACCUUCGGGCCUUCCAGUAAUUCACAAAUCAAAUGGGUAUGGGGUGAUCUUAAAACAGUCCAGAGCUAAAGUGAAAUUACAGGUAUGCAAUCGCUAUAGAACCAGAAAGGGGGCAACCGAACUGAGAGGGCUGAACAGGGACCAGGCUUUCUCUCUACAGCCGGCUGCUGUGUAAUACUUGCGAGCAACUCUAAGAAAAACACACCUUCCUUCCUAACAACCUCUUCCUUUCCCGGGGAAGGGGUAGGGGUGUCCGCGGAAGGCACGCAAAGGAAACAAACACACCCAAAAUCCCGUUUCAAAAUUCUGCCCCACCAGUUUUUUCUUCCAGAACUGCCGGCCCGGCAGUCCCCGAGCCCUCAGGAGAUUUGGGGGUGACAAGGGGUGGGCGAUGGGGCAGACGAGCCUGGGCACUCAGCGGGGCAUCUCUCCACCAGCGGGACACCGUUUCCUCAGCCAAGCGCAAUUCUCCCUCAAAAUCGCGACCGCGGCCGACCCAGGGCCACGCCUCGCCGGUCUCGUCCACCCCGCCGGGCCGGGCCCAGGCCGCCGCCGCCGCCCUCCCUUCCUUCCCGGCCGCUCCCGCGGGCCGCCGGCGACGGCAACAGCGAGGCAGGCUCACUCACAUCCGUCCGCGUCCUCCUGCAGGUCCUCCUGGAGCAGCGACAGGUCUGCGCCGAGAGGAGAGAAGAAAGGCCCGAAUGUCCUUAUGUGAAUUCAGCUGACACUUUCAAAACGGCAAGGAGUUAGAAAUUCACAAACUAUCGACAGAAAUCAGUCCCAACUGACUCAACCCAUGAGAGUUGUGCCCCACUGCUACUACACGUCUUGCAGACACCUAACCACUUUAGCAAUUACGGGUUGACACAAUUCUCAGGAGUUGAAGGCUGCCUGUGGAAAGCAACAGAACACAACUUCUGUCCCCAGAUCAGCCACCGCCGCGGUUUCUUGACAUAGGCUGGUUUUGAACUGAAUAGUGUCCUGUUAUAACCACUACUGUAAGCUGAGUAUAAAGGAAAAUAAAUCCUCUGUUUCUUAUCCACCAUAGUAAGUACUCCAGUGCUUUUUCAGUGCUCCAGGUUUGUAUAGCCAAAAAGAUUCUCCUCUGAGAAUUCUGUAGUUAUUCCAGCCGAUGUAUGGCAUCCUAUAUAAUUCAUUUCAUUGGAAAAAGUAAGAUAUGAAAACAGCGAGCAUUAAGUGGAUCAAAAUAGCAGUGUUAAUUUUCCUUAUGCCUUUUUCUUAAAAUGCAGAAAGCGUUAGUUGCAGUCACAUUCAAAGUAAUGUGGAGAGCCUACCCGAGAGUGUGUGUGCUGAAGAAAUGCUUAUAAUUCUGAAUCUGGAUGGAUGACUCAAGUUGAACCAGGAAAAAGCUAUAAGCAAACCACGUAUUGAAAUCCAGAUAAGUUCAGUGAUUAAACUAUGCCUUGAUUAUAAGGUCCCUCCACAGCAAGGCUGUCCUGUGGUUCUAUGUUUCAGAAGUUGCUCCUAUUCUAAUUUCACUUCUGUGUAACUCUGUAACCAAACUGCUUGUGUUCCUGGUUCUUGAUUCCUUUGGUAAGAAAAGCAUUAGCACAAAUGAUGCAAUACAAUUCAUACACAAGAUAGCUAAUACAUUUGUUAACUUUUUAUUUUGAAAUAAUUGCAGAUUUACAGGAAGUUGCAAGAAAAAAAUGUACAGGGAGGUUCUGUGUACCCUUCACCCAGUUUCCCCCACUGGCAAUAUAAGUACAUUUUGAGACAUUUUUGAAAUGCAUGUGCCAGGCAUUUAUGCUAAGUGCCUUUAUGUACUUCCUGAUAUAACCCUUAAAACUACCCUGUGAAGUAGGUAUUGAUCUUUCAAUACCUGCAUUUUAAAAAUACAGGAAACUGAAGCUCAAAGAGGUUAAGUACUUUGACAAAAGUCAGAUAGCAAAUAGAACAGUUGAAUUCAAAGAUUGGAAUCCUGAUUGAAAAUAAUGGUAACAGCACUUGUUUAUCAUCACGUGAACGACUUUUCCAUCAGAACUGUCCCUCAGCCAUUUUCUCUGGCAUCAGGAGAGCCCUUGUCCUUUCACAUGUAUGGUUUUGGUAUCCCCUUUAAUUCCAACUAGGCCAUCACAAUUCCCUGCCAAUUUUGCCAUGCAGACAUUUUAAGUUACCCUGUCACUUUUUCCUCAUCUAACAUUCUGAUCAAAGUGUUAACUACUUCAAAAUCAUACUACCAACUUUCUCACUAGCCUUUUUCAAUUUAUUCUGGCCAGGGAUGCAAAAUUUAUCUAUCUUGUGUAACAUUUUGUUCAUAUCAGUUAUGGGAAAAUCUUAAACAUGUGACUUAAUAUUGUUUUCCUAGUAACUAGACUUAUUGUGGCAAUCAUUCCACAAUGUACACUAUAUGUGUGUACUAUACCAAUGUUAAAUUACACUAUAUUGUACAUCUGAAACCAAUAUAUACAACAGUUAUACCCAAAAAAGGUGAAAAGCAAAAUGUUUCCUACUAAAUGACCUUUGCUUCCUUAGCUACCAUGUACCACCAUUUAACUCUUGUUUUAAGUUAUCCUGGGUUAAGACAGUCUUGAACUCAGGUGCCAACUCAUUUCUCCUUCAAACCAUGUUAUUGGGGUGGUUUUUUUUGGGUGUUUUUGCUAUUGCUAUUGUUGCUGUUGGGCAGGGGAAGAGGAGGAAAGAUUCUACAUUUUUAUAACAUUCUUUUUAUAUUUUUCUAAUUUUGAAAGUACAUGUUCUUGGAAAAUCUGGAAAAAGGAUAAAGAAAAAGUUGGGAUUGCCAAAAAUCCCCCAAUUUGGUGAUUAUAUCAAAGAACAUUAGUGUACCUUUACCUCUUUAAGCUUUCACAUUCCUACGUAAAAAUUUUAAACAUCUUUACUGAGAUAUAAAUCACAUACUGUAAAAUUCACCCAUUUAAAGUGCACAGAUGAGUGGUUUUAGAAUAUUCAGUUAUACCAUUAUCACCCCGUCUAAUUUGAGAAUAUUUCAUCACUCCCAUCCCAAAAAUGUACCCAUUAGCCAUCCCUCCCCAUUCACAACAUAGUCCUAAGCAACCAGUCAUGUUUCCUGUUUGUAUGGAUUUGCCUGUUUUAGACGUUCUGUAUAAAGGGAUUCAUGCAAUAUGUGGUCUUUUGUGAUUGACUUCUUUCACUUAGCAUAGUUUUUUCAAGUUUCACAUAUGUUGUAGUAUGUAUCAGUAUUUCAUUCCUUUCUGUUUAUGAAUAAUACUUCAUUGUACAGAUAUGCAACAUUUUAUUUGCCCCUUCACUGUUGGUGGACACUUGGGUUGUUUCUACUUCUUAGCUAUUGUGAAUAAUGCUGCUAUAAACAUUCAUGUAUAAGUUUUGGGGUAGAUUUUUGCUUUCAGUUCAUUUGGGUAUAUACCCAGAAGUGGAAUUGGUGGAUCAUAUAGCAAUAUAGCAACUACUUUCAAUAUCUUGAGGAACUACCAACUGUUGGCCAAAGUAGCCACAUCAUUUUCUAUUCCCUUCAGUAAUGUAUGAAGGUUCCAAUCCCUCCACAUCCUCCUUCAUAAAAUGUGCCUCUUCCAAAGUAAAGCUGUCAUUAAUCACAAAUGAGGAGAAUGUAUAUGUGGAAAAUACAAGACUCUACAAAUAAGGUAUUAAGAAAUAAAUUUAGCACAGUCACUGGACAGAAGGUCAAUCCUAAGUAUUUCAGUACCCAGUAAUUAUACAUAGAAUUUUUAAAUUUAAUACCUCUUAACAAUAACAUUUAAAAAGUCAAAUCCUAGAAAUGAAUCUAAUGAAAGAUCGGCAGGACCAUUACAUAGACAACUAGAAAACAUUAGUGGGAGAAAUUUAUUUUUUAAAUCUUAAGUAAAAUGUAAGGUUACAUCAAGGCUAUGAUUAGAAAACUCUAUUUUGUUAAGAUGUCAAUUGUCUUGGAUUCAAUUAAUUUCCAACUGAUUAGAGAUCCAAUUCAUUCCCAAAGUGGGAGUGGUUUUUGCAUGUGUGUAGAUGUUGAUAAUCUGAUUCUAAACGUCUGUAUGGAUGUGCAAAGGGCAAAGUCUAGAAUAACAGAUAAUUUUGAAGAACAACAAAAUUAAAGGAACUUCCUCUUGGAUAUCCAAGCUUACAUUAAAGCUACAAAAAUUAGGGAGUAUGGUGUUGGAGUGAACAUAAGCAAAUAGACUAAUAAUAUGAAUAGUCCAGUAAUAGACCCCCACCUGGAUGAAUGCCUGGGUUAUGACGACAGUGUCAAUGUAGAGUGGUGAGAGGAAGACAAAAGUAGCCCUGUAGAGCUGUAACAGAAAGCAGAUGCUGAGUCCACCGGAGUGAAAUAGGAGGAAUAAAAACUUGAUCCCUACCUCACUCCAUACACAAAAAUCAAUUCUAGACUGAUUAAGAUACAAAUAUGAAAGUAAAACAAUAAAGCUUCAAAAGAUGACAGGAGAAUAGCUUCUUGGCCUUGGGAUAGGGAAUGGUUUUUUAAACAGACACACUAACACUGACCCAUGAGGGAAAAAGAUAAAUUGGACUGUAUUAGAACUUCUCCAAAUACACUAUUAAGUGAUUGUCAAUAGUCAUCCAAAUACACUAUUAAGAGACUGAUAAUAAAAGCUAUCAAGUGGAAGAAAAUUGCAACACACAUAACUGAAAAGGUUUAUAGUCAGAAUAUACAAAGAAUUAUUCAUCUAUAAGAAAAGGGCAGACAAUUCAAUAGGAAAAUGGAUGAGAGGUAUUGACAGGUUGUUCUUAAAAGAGCAUAGCCACAUGGCUAAUACAUACAUACAUGAAAAAGAUGCUUAAUCUCAUUUUUUCUUAUUAAGGUAUCAUUGAUAUACACUCUUAUGAAGGUUUCACAUGAAAAACAUUGUGGUUACUACAUUCACACAUAUUAUCAAGUACCCCCCCACACCCCAUUGCAGUCACUGGCCAUCAGUAGAGUAAGAUGCCACAGAAUCACUACUUGUCUUCUCUGUGCUUUUCUGUCUUCCGCAUGAUGCCUCCCAAACACCAUGUGUGCCAAUCAUAAUACCCCUUAUUCC